rnacentral:lncRNA from 1 species
AAUAAAAUUUCAUUCUCCUUAAUAAAGUAAUAAAUUUAAGAAUGCAAGGCGUAGGUUACGCCUUCUACCGCCCUCUGUCGGAAAUCGGCAGGAAGUCAUCGACCGUGAGCUGUCUGAUCCUGGAUCGGCCUUCCUCGCCAUCUAGCGUGGGAUAGCUGCACUCUUGUAUUCCUCUAUGGACUUACGUGGAUCAUAGUUGCCAUUUUGAAAAAAUAGAAGUAAAUCGUCAUCGGGCGUUUGCCUUCCUUCCUUUUAUUCGUAACCAGACUUAAUUAUGGUUUUUUUUUAAGCUCCGCGUUAAUCGCGAAGAGUUUAGUAUUAUAUUUUAUUGUUGACUUAAUUUCCAUUGAACGUCCGGAGCCGGCUGUUUGCGGUGCGAGCCGAUUUAGGCUUGGCAACACUAGUCCCGUCCAAAAUGGCGAAUGAGAUGGGAUUUCUUUUUGCCGGAGAGAGAGUUGAAGGGAUAUCGUUGGCCCAAGCCAAAAUCGGGCGCAAUCGCCCGUUUGAGUGAGUUUCAAUAGUGAUUCGGUUGUGUAUUUCUUUUUAGUUGGUUAGUUUCUAACGAAGCGUUGCAUAUUUUCCAGCCCCGGAAUCGGACGUGAAUAAAACCAUGUUCUGAUGGUGAUAGGCGACGCCCAGCGUGCCCGGAUGUCGAAAUAGGUGCAAUUUUGCCCUCUGCUGGCCCUUUCUCCAUCAACGGGUUCACGCCGCGUCGCCUAAACCUCGCGCCGGCCGCGAGAGGUUCCCCUGGUAUCCCGGUAACUUGUGGGCAGCAGAUUGCUGCUGUUCUACCUACUCCCGUCGUUUCACCCCAAGGCUGCUGACGUGGCAGUUGUGGUGUUUCGAGGUCAGAUCUUUCCACGUUUACUUAUUGACUGAAUGAACCGGCCUUUCGGUUCUGGCGCCCUUCCGUGUAACUACCUUAAUAUAUAUUGACCGCUGUAUCCGUUUCUACCAGUAAUGAUAAUUUAGAGCUCGCUGACCCACGUUUGUUCCCUUAAAAUAUAAACUCAACAUUAUUGUUCUCGUGAGCUAGCCCUCGGCAAACAAUUGUUACCGUGUAUCUAGGAUAACAAAUUAGCAUAAACAAUUUAGAUUUUUUUUCCUGAAUUCAAUAAAUACCUGGUUCCUCUUCAA